GAUGAACGCUGGCGGCGUGCCUAAUACAUGCAAGUCGAGCGAACGGACGAGAAGCUUGCUUCUCUGAUGUUAGCGGCGGACGGGUGAGUAACACGUGGAUAACCUACCUAUAAGACUGGGAUAACUUCGGGAAACCGGAGCUAAUACCGGAUAAUAUUUUGAACCGCAUGGUUCAAAAGUGAAAGACGGUCUUGCUGUCACUUAUAGAUGGAUCCGCGCUGCAUUAGCUAGUUGGUAAGGUAACGGCUUACCAAGGCAACGAUGCAUAGCCGACCUGAGAGGGUGAUCGGCCACACUGGAACUGAGACACGGUCCAGACUCCUACGGGAGGCAGCAGUAGGGAAUCUUCCGCAAUGGGCGAAAGCCUGACGGAGCAACGCCGCGUGAGUGAUGAAGGUCUUCGGAUCGUAAAACUCUGUUAUUAGGGAAGAACAUAUGUGUAAGUAACUGUGCACAUCUUGACGGUACCUAAUCAGAAAGCCACGGCUAACUACGUGCCAGCAGCCGCGGUAAUACGUAGGUGGCAAGCGUUAUCCGGAAUUAUUGGGCGUAAGCGCGCGUAGGCGGUUUUUUAAGUCUGAUGUGAAAGCCCACGGCUCAACCGUGGAGGGUCAUUGGAAACUGGAAAACUUGAGUGCAGAAGAGGAAAGUGGAAUUCCAUGUGUAGCGGUGAAAUGCGCAGAGAUAUGGAGGAACACCAGUGGCGAAGGCGACUUUCUGGUCUGUAACUGACGCUGAUGUGCGAAAGCGUGGGGAUCAAACAGGAUUAGAUACCCUGGUAGUCCACGCCGUAAACGAUGAGUGCUAAGUGUUAGGGGGUUUCCGCCCCUUAGUGCUGCAGCUAACGCAUUAAGCACUCCGCCUGGGGAGUACGACCGCAAGGUUGAAACUCAAAGGAAUUGACGGGGACCCGCACAAGCGGUGGAGCAUGAGGUUUAAUUCGAAGCAACGCGAAGAACCUUACCAAAUCUUGACAUCCUUUGACAACUCUAGAGAUAGAGCCUUCCCCUUCGGGGGACAAAGUGACAGGUGGUGCAUGGUUGUCGUCAGCUCGUGUCGUGAGAUGUUGGGUUAAGUCCCGCAACGAGCGCAACCCUUAAGCUUAGUUGCCAUCAUUAAGUUGGGCACUCUAAGUUGACUGCCGGUGACAAACCGGAGGAAGGUGGGGAUGACGUCAAAUCAUCAUGCCCCUUAUGAUUUGGGCUACACACGUGCUACAAUGGACAAUACAAAGGGCAGCGAAACCGCGAGGUCAAGCAAAUCCCAUAAAGUUGUUCUCAGUUCGGAUUGUAGUCUGCAACUCGACUACAUGAAGCUGGAAUCGCUAGUAAUCGUAGAUCAGCAUGCUACGGUGAAUACGUUCCCGGGUCU
rnacentral:rRNA from 1 species